UACGUAGGUGGCAAGCGUUGUCCGGAUUUAUUGGGCGUAAAGCGCGCGCAGGCGGUCCUUUAAGUCUGAUGUGAAAUCUUGCGGCUCAACCGCAAGCGGUCAUUGGAAACUGGGGGACUUGAGUACAGAAGAGGAAAGCGGAAUUCCACGUGUAGCGGUGAAAUGCGUAGAGAUGUGGAGGAACACCAGUGGCGAAGGCGGCUUUCUGGUCUGGUACUGACGCUCAGGAGCGAAAGCGUGGGGAGCGAUCCGG
rnacentral:rRNA from 1 species